rnacentral:lncRNA from 1 species
AACUAUUUUUUUUCCUUCACACUCUUUUGUAUUCUUUGUUUAGAGUAUUACAUUGCAAUUUUUCACUUAAGGUCUUUAACCGACAAUCAUAACAAGAAUACUAUGAAAAAAUAGGGAAAAAAGUAGGAAAUAACGGAUAAGAAUAAAUUAGUAAAAAUGCAAAAAUGAUGGUUUCUUCUUAAAUUUAAUGUAGAACAAAUUUUCUCUUAAUACCUUAUAAAUGAAUGAAAAAAAUGAAAAAAGUAUUCCUCAUAAAUAGUGUUAUUUAUUAGAAACGUUAAAAAAUUAGGAUUUGAAUAGAGAAGGGACGAACCACAUGGUUCAGACAAAAAAAAAAUAGACUAUCCACUUUCACAUGGCCAUUCACC